AUUGAACGCUGGCGGCAGGCCUAACACAUGCAAGUCGAGCGAGCGGCGGACGGGUGAGUAAUGUAUGGGGACUGCCCGAUAGAGGGGGAUAACUCCUGGAAACGGUAGCUAAUACCCCAUACUAUCGGAUAACCCAUAGGGGGGUAGCUAGUAGGUGGGGUAAUGGCUCACCUAGGCGACGAUCCCUAGCUGGUCUGAGAGGAUGAUCAGCCGCAGUGGGACUGAGAGACGGCCAAGACUCCUACGGAGGGAGCAGUGGGGAAUAUGGGGCAAUGGGCGCAAGCCUGAAGCAGCCAUGCCGCGUGUAUGAAGAAGGCCCUAGGGUUGUAAAGUAGUUUCAGUCGGGAGGCGUUAACGACAGAAGAAGCACCGGCUAACUCCGUGCCAGCAGCAGCGGUAAUUC
rnacentral:rRNA from 1 species